rnacentral:lncRNA from 10 species
AAAAUUAUUAACCCCAUGUUAUAGAAGACUGUGCAUGCUUCUAAUAAAAAUUUGGAACCAAAAGAAGUUUAAAAAGCCGAAAGUGACUAAGUGCUGCUAUCCCAUGCCCCAAAGGUGCUUGGUUAUGUGCCAUCCUUUCAACAAACACAUAUAAUAAGCCAGCAUUAUGCACUAUGGAACUAGAGAUAGAGCCAUGAACAAAAGAGGUAACUCUUCCACUCUUAUGAAACUCUUUCUUUUCUUUUUCAAAUCACUAUCAAAAGCCUUUCAUUCUGAUAUAAAAUCCUGUAUGUAUCCUGGCAGGCUUUCAAAUUUAUAUUUAUACUGACCUUCAUGCUUUUAUUCUUGCAUUCAUCUGUCAUCUUCUUGACAAUUCUCCAUGAAAGUAGAGACAAUAGAAGGUAAAGGCUAAGAACACAGGUUUAUAGUGAGACAGACUGGGGUUCAAAUUCUGGCUCAGCUAUGUUUAUCACUUUUGUGCUAAGUAGUUUACCUACGUCAUUUUAAACUCAAAAAGUAC